UGGGCGUCGAGCGGCGGACGGGUGAGUAAUGCCUAGGAAAUUGCCUUGAUGUGGGGGAUAACCAUUGGAAACGAUGGCUAAUACCGCAUAAUGCCUACGGGCCAAAGAGGGGGAUCUUCGGACCUCUCGCGUCAAGAUAUGCCUAGGUGGGAUUAGCUAGUUGGUGAGGUAAUGGCUCACCAAGGCGACGAUCCCUAGCUGGUCUGAGAGGAUGAUCAGCCACACUGGAACUGAGACACGGUCCAGACUCCUACGGGAGGCAGCAGUGGGGAAUAUUGCACAAUGGGCGAAAGCCUGAUGCAGCCAUGCCGCGUGUAUGAAGAAGGCCUUCGGGUUGUAAAGUACUUUCAGUUGUGAGGAAGGGGGUGACGUUAAUAGCGUUAUCUCUUGACGUUAGCAACAGAAGAAGCACCGGCUAACUCCGUGCCAGCAGCCGCGGUAAUACGGAGGGUGCGAGCGUUAAUCGGAAUUACUGGGCGUAAAGCGCAUGCAGGUGGUUCAUUAAGUCAGAUGUGAAAGCCCGGGGCUCAACCUCGGAACUGCAUUUGAAACUGGUGAACUAGAGUGCUGUAGAGGGGGGUAGAAUUUCAGGUGUAGCGGUG
rnacentral:rRNA from 1 species